CACUUUUUUUUUUUUUAAACGGUGCAGUCUCAGAAAUCCUCCUCAGAGUGGAGAAGCUGCGGCCGGCCAGGUUGAAGACGACUGAACUCGCUUCACAGCUCAUUCAAGUGCUCCAGUCUGGUUUUUGAUUCUACUUCAUCCUUCGAUAUUCUACUUCAUCUUUAAAACUUCACAGCUCAUUCAAGUGCUCCAGUCUGGUUUUUGAUUCUACUUCAUCCUUCGAUAUUCUACUUCAUCUUUAAAAGUAAGAUUAAAUUACUUUUUAAAAGAGUAAUUUUUUUAAAGAGUUUUAAACUUGAUUUA